rnacentral:lncRNA from 1 species
GUUGAAUUCCCAGGCUCGGUCCAGGAGAACCACUCUCCAUUCUCACCCACCAACUAAAUGAACAGGCCUGUACACAUGCAAGCAACCCGACAAACCAGCAACCAGCACAAGAAAGACAAAGGCAUGGCACGGACUCCCAGGCACGAGCCAAGCUGACUCACUUACCGGAGGCUGACUUACGGGAAAAGAGAAGCCAGCAUUUGAUCUAUGCACAAGUCCUCAGGAAAGCCCAGCUUCAGGGAAGUUGAGUGUCCUAUACAGAGCGACUAAGCAACAUUAAAUACAUCUGCAGCCA